rnacentral:misc_RNA from 1 species
UCCUGGUUAACCCAGGCAGUCUCGCUAGAGUGCCCACCAUUACGUGCUGGCAACUAACGACAAGGGUUGCGCUCGUUGCGGGACUUAACCCAACACCUCACGGCACGAGCUGACGACAGCCAUGCAGCACCUGUGCAACUGUCUCUUGCGAGAACACUUCAUCUCUGAAGCUGUCAGUUGCAUGUCAAACCCAGGUAAGGUUCUUCGCGUUGCAUCGAAUUAAACCACAUGCUCCACUGCUUGUGCGGGUCCCCGUCAAUUCUUUUGAGUUUUACCCUUGCGAGCGUACUUCCCAGGCGGUAUACUUAUCGCGUUAGCUUCGGCACAGUCGGGGUUGAGUCCGACUACGCCAAGUAUACAUAGUUUAAGGCAAGGACUAC